GUGGGGAAUCUUAGACAAUGGGGGAAACCCUGAUCUAGCCAUGCCGCGUGAGCGAUGAAGGCCUUAGGGUUGUAAAGCUCUUUCAGUGGGGAAGAUAAUGACGGUACCCACAGAAGAAGCCCCGGCUAACUCCGUGCCAGCAGCCGCGGUAAUACGGAGGGGGCUAGCGUUGUUCGGAAUUACUGGGCGUAAAGCGCACGUAGGCGGACGGACAAGUCAGAGGUGAAAUCCCGGGGCUCAACCCUGGAACUGCCUUUGAAACUGUCUGUCUUGAGGUCGGGAGAGGUGAGUGGAAUUCCGAGUGUAGAGGUGAAAUUCGUAGAUAUUCGGAGGAACACCGGUGGCGAAGGCGGCUCACUGGCCCGAUACUGACGCUGAGGUGCGAAAGCGUGGGGAGCAAACAGGAUUAGAUACCCGGGUAGUCC
rnacentral:rRNA from 1 species